rnacentral:rRNA from 1 species
AUUGAACGCUGGCGGCAGGCUUAACACAUGCAAGUCGAGCGGGGGAAGGUAGCUUGCUACCGGACCUAGCGGCGGACGGGUGAGUAAUGCUUAGGAAUCUGCCUAUUAGUGGGGGACAACAUCUCGAAAGGGAUGCUAAUACCGCAUACGUCCUACGGGAGAAAGCAGGGGAUCUUUGGACCUUGCGCUAAUAGAUGAGCCUAAGUCGGAUUAGCUAGUUGGUGGGGUAAAGGCCUACCAAGGCGACGAUCUGUAGCGGGUCUGAGAGGAUGAUCCGCCACACUGGGACUGAGAAACGGCCCAGACUCCUACGGGAGGCAGCAGUGGGGAAUAUUGGACAAUGGGGGGAACCCUGAUCCAGCCAUGCUGCGUGUGUGAAGAAGGCCUUAUGGUUGUAAAGCACUUUAAGCGAGGAGGAGGCUACUUUAGUUAAUACCUAGAGAUGGUGGACGUUACUCGCAGAAUAAGCACCGGCUAACUCUGUGCCAGCAGCCGCGGUAA